GCUACCAUGCAGUCGACGGUAUCACAUAGAGCUUGCUCUCGGGUGACGAGUGGCGGACGGGUGAGUAAUGUCUGGGAAACUGCCUGAUGGAGGGGGAUAACUACUGGAAACGGUAGCUAAUACCGCAUAACGUCGCAAGACCAAAGAGGGGGACCUUCGGGCCUCUUGCCAUCAAAUGUGCCCAGAUGGGAUUAGCUAGUAGGUGGGGUAACGGCUCACCUAGGCGACGAUCCCUACCUGGUCUGAGAGGAUGACCAGCCACACUGGAACUGAGACACAGUCCAGACUCCUACGGGAGGCAGCACUGGGGAAUAUUGCACAAUGGGCGCAAGCCUGAUGCACCCAUGCCGCGUGUAUGAAGAAGGACUUCGGGUUGUAAAGUACUUUCCGCGGGGAGGAAGGUGUUGUGGUUAAUAACCGCAGCAAUUGACGUUACCCGCAGAAGAAGCACCGGCUAACUCCGUGCCAAGCACCCGCGGUAAUACGGAGGGUGCGAGCGUUUAAUCGGAAUUACUGGGCGUAAAGCGCACGCAAGCGGUUUGUCAAGUCGAAUGUGAAAUCCCCGGGGUCAACCUGGGAACUGUAUUCGAAACUGGCAGGGUGGAAUCUUGUAGAGGGGGGAACAAUCCCAGGUGUAGCGUUGACAUACGUAAAGAACUGGAGAAAUAACCGGGUGCUAUCGGGGCCCCCCGGAACAAAAAAUAGCCCCUUCGGGUGCGAAACGGGUGGGAAGGCAAAAGAGAUAAAAACCCCUGG
rnacentral:rRNA from 1 species